rnacentral:rRNA from 1 species
UACGAAGGGUGCAAGCGUUACUCGGAAUUACUGGGCGUAAAGCGCGCGCAGGCGGUCUUCCAAGUCAGUGGUGAAAGCCUGGAGCUCAACUCCAGAACUGCCAUUGAAACUGUUGGACUUGAGUACGAGAGAGGUGAGUGGAAUUCCCAGUGUAGAGGUGAAAUUCGUAGAUAUUGGGAAGAACACCGGUGGCGAAGGCGGCCAUCUGGACCGGUUCUGACGCUGAGGCGCGAAAGCGUGGGGAGCAAACAGG